rnacentral:rRNA from 1 species
GACAGAGGUGCCAAGCGUUAGGCGGAAUCACUGGGCUUAAAGCGUGUGUAGGCGGAUCGUUAAGUACCUUGUGAAAUCCCACGGCUCAACCGUGGAACUGCUCGGUAUACUGGCGGUCUUGAGCCACCUAGGGGCAACUGGAACAAGCGGUGGAGCGGUGAAAUGCGUAGAUAUUCGCAAGAACACCAGUGGCGAAGGCGGCUCACUGGCCCGGUACUGACGCUGAGGUGCGAAAGCGUGGGGAGCAAACAGG